GGCCCGAUGGCGCAAUGGUAGCGCGUCAGAUUCCAGCUUCUACUUGGAGACUCCUGAAGGUUAGGCGUUCAAAUCGCCUUCGGGUCA
rnacentral:tRNA from 2 species